rnacentral:rRNA from 1 species
AUGCCGAGGUCACAAGCUGCAGCAUAUAGAGGGAGGAAGCACUACACAAGUCAGAAUGUGCUUGUUGUUGUUGACUUUGAUCUGAAGUUCACAUGUGUGCUAGCUGGAUGGGAAGGAUCGGCACAUAAUGCUAACACUCUCAGUGAUAACAUAGGUCGUCAUGAUGGCAUCAAUAUCCCCGAUGGCAAGUUCUACCUAGGAUAUGCUGGUUAUGCAUGUCAGCCAGGUGUUCUUCCACCCUUUAGGAAAACCAGGUACCAUCUGAACAAGUUCUCUGGUAGGAACUAUCCUAGGACUCCUCGGGAACUGUUCAACCUCAGACACUCCAGCCUUAGGGUAAUGGUUGAAAGGGCAUUUGGAGCUCUGAAGAAUAGGUUUAAGAUCCUGGAUCAAAAGCCAUUCUACCCUUACCCUACCCAGGUCAAGCUUGUUCUUGCAUGUUACAUCAUUCACAACUGGACCCUGCGGUGGGGAAUUGAUGAACUCGUGUCGGAGGAGGAAGAGGCGACUCCUGGUGAGGUGAUCAACUCCAGCCAUGGUGCGGAGGCAUUUGACGAAGCAUGGAGGAAUAAAAAGUUGGAGUGGGCAGACAAUGUGCGAUAA